GUUUUCCUUGAAUCCUUGACAUCAAUGUGCAGCAGGUGAGCUGGGCAAGACAAAUGAAGCAAUUCACAUUUUUCAUUCAGCUUUACAUCUUGUGUGAAAUUCAUGCUGGAAGAAGCCGAGUCAGAAUGACUGUUGCCACAUCUUUCUAGACACAGCCAACUGGGUGUAGAAGACUGAACAUGGAGUAAGGAGCCAGAAUCUCGUCUGUCAUUCUCCCACUGACUCAUCAUAUGGCCUUGGGUCUAGGAUGGAAUAUCCAGUAAAAUGAGUACAGAAGAGCUGAAAACUCAUCCCACCAUAUCCAAUAACACAGUGGUUAUGGACCUCACAUGGUCUGAAUCAGGCAUAGCAUGGACUUGAGCUCAGGUCUUCCA